rnacentral:rRNA from 1 species
CAGCAUGGUCUUAGCUUGCUAAGGCCGAUGGCGACCGGCGCACGGGUGAGUAACACGUAUCCAACCUGCCGUCUACUCUUGGACAGCCUUCUGAAAGAAAGAUUAAUACCCGAUGGUAUAAUCAGACCGCAUGGUUUGAUUAUUAAAGAAUUUCGGUUAUCGAUGGGGAUGCGUUCCAUUAGGCAGUUGGUGAGGUAACGGCCCACCUAGUCUUCGAUGGAUAGGGGUUCUGAGAGGAAGGUCCCCACAUUGGAACUGAGACACGGUCCAAACUCC